AGAAACACCAGUUCCCAUACAAUCAUUGAACUUGAGUAGCAUCGAGCCUGGUCAGUACCUCGAUAGGUGACCACUUGGGAAUACCAGGUGCUGUAUG